CAGCCAUACAGUAUGCGGCCUUACAUGCCUGGCUUCUUUUCCUUGGUGUGGUGCUCGCAAGCUCCAUCAAUGUUGGAACAUGGGUCGGGGAUUCAUCCCUUUUGAUGGCUGAGUGACUUCCCAAGGUAUGGAUAUUCUGGCAUUGAGAUUGUUUUAAGUCCCUGGGUGGAGGUGUGGGCAGGAGUGAAUACACACUUCCAAGGAGCUGCUCUGAAGAAACUCAAGCUGCUGUCCCUCUACCAGCACUCCAUGACAUCAUGAACACGAUGACAUCAUCAACACCAUGAUAUAAUCAGCACUGCAUCAUUAACACCACCACAUCAUCGGCACCAUGACAUAUCAACACCAUGACAUCAACAACACCAUGAAAUCAUCAACACCACAUCAUUAACACCAUGACAUCAACACUACAUCGUCAUCAACACCAAGACCAUCAUUAACACCGUGGCAUCAUCAACACUGCAUCAUUAACACCAUGACGUCACCAACAUGACAUCAUCACCAUGACAUCAUCAGCACCAUGAUAUCAACACUGCAUUAUUAACAUCAUGACGUCAUCAACACCAUGACACCAUCAACGCCAUGACAUCAACACCAUGACAUCAUUAACACCGCAUCAUUAACUCCAUGACAUCAACACAACAUCAGCACAAUGACAUCACCACGACAUCAUCAACACCACAUCAACACCAUGAUAUGAUCAACGCAUGACAUCAUCAGCACUGCAUCAUUAACACCAUGACAUCAUCAGCACUAUGACAUCAUCAACACCAUGACAUCAUCAACAGCACAUCAUUAACACCAUGACACUAUCAACUCCAUGACAUCAACAGUGACAAGAACACCACAUCAACACCAUGACAUUGUCAACACCAUGACAUCAUCAACACCACAUCAGUAACACCAUGACACUAUCAACACCAUGAAUCAUCAACUCCA
rnacentral:lncRNA from 1 species